CUGUAAGCGUAUACCAAAGUUGUUGCAGUUAAAACGCUCGUAGUCGGAAUUUGGCAGUUCCGGAUGUGUGCACGUCGUGUGCGCACUUCGCGGGGAUUGCUUUUGUGGUCUUGCGUAGGAUGAGGCACUUUUAUUAGUGAACGUCCUCACGCAACCACUUUUUACUGUGAGAAAAUCAGAGUGCUCAAAGCAGGCAUUUGCCGUGAAUGUAUUAGCAUGGAAUAAUAGAAUAGGACUUGGUUCUAUUUUGUUGGUUUGUUGGGACUGAGUAAUGAUUAAGAGGGACAGUUGGGGGCAUUUGUAUUUCGGUGCUAGAGGUGAAAUUCUUAGAUUACCGAAAGACAAACUGCUGCGAAAGCGUCUGCCAAGGAUGUUUUCAUUGA
rnacentral:rRNA from 1 species